CUUGUGACAGCCAGCUGGAGCAGCGCGUGUCGCGCCUCAUGCCGCUCGCCGGCGUCGGCCGCAUGGACGAGCUGCGCGGUUCCAGCUCGUCCGUCUCCACAGGUGUGCUCAGCCCCGGCUCGCACGACUCGUUCGUGGACGAGGGCGCCGACUCACCCUACGAGCACUACUCGGACAGCGACAGUGACGCAGGCUCGGCGCUGGGCGAUGAGGCGCUGAGCUCAUCACUCAGCCGAAAGGAGCGCUACUUCUGGC